rnacentral:lncRNA from 1 species
UGAAAGAAAGAAAAUUAAAUUCAAGGCCCAUGAUUCAUACGGCUCAUGACUAGUCAGAAGGUUUACAGACCUAAGGCAGAGAGCAUAGCAGAACAGGCCUGGGCAUGACCAGACAGGCCAGCACAAAGGCUGUUAAGUCAUUCCAGGAACUAACUGGCCAUAAACAUAAGAGAGGCAUGCAAGGACAAUCUCCAGACAAGCCCAGUUAAGUAAUGGGCCACCUGGUCUGGUCUCCUUCUGAUAUAGUUUGAGUUUAACCAGAUGCUCUGCCCAUAAAGAUAAGCACCCUCCCUUUAGAGUUGCUGUUGUCUCGACCUGCAUGUACUGCUUGCUGAUGUUUAAACUGUCCAAUUGUGUAACCGCGCCAAUUUCCCCUAUCCCCCGACUUUUUUUCUAUAUAAACCCCUAAUUUUUGAGCCUCGGGGUCAAUUCCUCUGUCUCUUGUGUGAGACACAUGUUGGCCUGGAGCUCCGUCAUUAAACUACCUCAUGUGUUUGCAUC